UCUGUCCUCUUCGUUCUCCCCUGUCCCUCGUUGAUCCCCUGCGCGCUGCGCUUUCAAUUCCAGGAACCAAGUUUCAAUUGAAACUUUGGUUUCCAAAUUCAUUUAAGCUGGCCCAAUUUUUAUUUGGGCUUCGGGAAUUUGGACUCGGAGCUCAGGAAGAACGGCCCAUCGAACAAGAAGUAUAAACUACGGUUGAGGUACGAAGAAGAUCAUGGGAUGCCUUAGAGUGAGGAUGCAACCAUCAAAUUCACGAUCGAUGUUUAGUAGAGACAAUUAUGUCAUUAGUAAUAAAGGGAUGUAUUAAUUAAACUCUAAGUUUGAUCUCAUGAUUUGAGUUAGAUUUUAAUACUAAUAUUAACCAAAUGCUAGAAGUAUUUAUUAUUAAAGUUUAUUUAGUAAUUUAAAAAGGUU